AAAAGCUUGCUUUUGAAGAUGACGAGCGGCGGACGGGUGAGUAAUGCCUGGGAAUUUGCCCAUUUGUGGGGGAUAACAGUUGGAAACGACUGCUAAUACCGCAUACGCCCUACGGGGGAAAGCAGGGGACCUUAGGGCCUUGCGCUGAUGGAUAAGCCCAGGUGGGAUUAGCUAGUAGGUGAGGUAAAGGCUCACCUAGGCGACGAUCCCUAGCUGGUCUGAGAGGAUGAUCAGCCACACUGGGACUGAGACACGGCCCAGACUCCUACGGGAGGCAGCAGUGGGGAAUAUUGCACAAUGGGGGAAACCCUGAUGCAGCCAUGCCGCGUGUGUGAAGAAGGCCUUCGGGUUGUAAAGCACUUUCAGCGAGGAGGAAAGGGUGUAAGUUAAUACCUUACAUCUGUGACGUUACUCGCAGAAGAAGCACCGGCUAACUCCGUGCCAGCAGCCGCGGUAAUACGGAGGGUGCGAGCGUUAAUCGGAAUUACUGGGCGUAAAGCGUGCGCAGGCGGUUUGUUAAGCGAGAUGUGAAAGCCCCGGGCUCAACCUGGGAACCGCAUUUCGAACUGGCAAACUAGAGUCUUGUAGAGGGGGGUAGAA
rnacentral:rRNA from 1 species